rnacentral:rRNA from 1 species
GGACGUGCUAAUCUGCGAAAAGCGCCGGCGAGGUGAUAUGAACCYUUGACCCGGCGAUGUCCGAAUGGGGAAACCCAGUGCAAUCCGUUGCACUAUCGUUAACUGAAUACAUAGGUUAACGAGGCGAACCGGGGGAACUGAAACAUCUAAGUACCCCGAGGAAAAGAAAUCAACCGAGAUUCCCCCAGUAGCGGCGAGCGAACGGGGAGCAGCCCGGAGUCUGAAUCAGCUUGUGUGUUAGUGGAACGGUCUGGAAAGUCCGACGGUACAGGGUGAUAGUCCCGUACACGAAAGCACACWUGCUGUGAACUCGAAGAGUAGGGCGGGACACGUGGUAUCCUGUCUGAAUAUGGGGGGACCAUCCUCCAAGGCUAAAUACUCCUGACUGACCGAUAGUGAACCAGUACCGUGAGGGAAAGGCGAAAAGAACCCCGGCGAGGGGAGUGAAAAAGAACCUGAAACCGUGUACGUACAAGCAGUGGGAGCCUCUUUAUGGGGUGACUGCGUACCUUUUGUAUAAUGGGUCAGCGACUUAUAUUCUGUAGCAAGGUUAACCGUAUAGGGGAGCCGAAGGGAAACCGAGUCUUAACUGGGCGUUAAGUUGCAGGGUAUAGACCCGAAACCCGGUGAUCUAGCCAUGGGCAGGUUGAAGGUUGGGUAACACUAACUGGAGGACCGAACCGACUAAUGUUGAAAAAUUAGCGGAUGACCUGUGGCUGGGGGUGAAAGGCCAAUCAAACCGGGAGAUAGCUGGUUCUCCCCGAAAGCUAUUUAGGUAGCGCCUCGUGAACUCAUCUUCGGGGGUAGAGCACUGUUUCGGCUAGGGGGCCAUCCCGGCUUACCAACCCGAUGCAAACUACGAAUACCGAAGAAUGUUAUCACGGGAGACACACGGCGGGUGCUAACGUCCGUCGUGAAGAGGGAAACAACCCAGACCGCCAGCUAAGGUCCCAAAGUCAUGGUUAAGUGGGAAACGAUGUGGGAAGGCACAGACAGCCAGGAUGUUGGCUUAGAAGCAGCCAUCAUUUAAAGAAAGCGUAAUAGCUCACUGGUCGAGUCGGCCUGCGCGGAAGAUGUAACGGGGCUAAACCAUGCACCGAAGCUGCGGCAGCGACRCUUAUGYGUUGUUGGGUAGGGGAGCGUUCUGUAAGCCGUUGAAGGUGUGCUGUGAGGCAUGCUGGAGGUAUCAGAAGUGCGAAUGCUGACAUAAGUAACGAUAAAGCGGGUGAAAAGCCCGCUCGCCGGAAGACCAAGGGUUCCUGUCCAACGUUAAUCGGGGCAGGGUGAGUCGACCCCUAAGGCGAGGCCGAAAGGCGUAGUCGAUGGGAAACAGGUUAAUAUUCCUGUACUUGGUGUUACUGCGAAGGGGGGACGGAGAAGGCUAUGUCAGCCGGGCGACGGUUGUCCCGGUUUAAGCAUGUAGGCGGAGGUUCCAGGUAAAUCCGGUACCUUGUUAACGCUGAGGUGUGAUGACGAGGCACUACGGUGCUGAAGUGAUAAAUGCCCUGCUUCCAGGAAAAGCCUCUAAGCAUCAGGUAACACGAAAUCGUACCCCAAACCGACACAGGUGGUCAGGUAGAGAAUACCAAGGCGCUUGAGAGAACUCGGGUGAAGGAACUAGGCAAAAUGGUGCCGUAACUUCGGGAGAAGGCACGCUGAUGUGUAGGUGAAGCCCCUGCGGGUGGAGCUGAAAUCAGUCGAAGAUACCAGCUGGCUGCAACUGUUUAUUAAAAACACAGCACUGUGCAAACACGAAAGUGGACGUAUACGGUGUGACGCCUGCCCGGUGCCGGAAGGUUAAUUGAUGGGGUUAGCGGCAACGCGAAGCUCUUGAUCGAAGCCCCGGUAAACGGCGGCCGUAACUAUAACGGUCCUAAGGUAGCGAAAUUCCUUGUCGGGUAAGUUCCGACCUGCACGAAUGGCGUAAUGAUGGCCAGGCUGUCUCCACCCGAGACUCAGUGAAAUUGAACUCGCUGUGAAGAUGCAGUGUACCCGCGGCAAGACGGAAAGACCCCGUGAACCUUUACUAUAGCUUGACACUGAACACUGGUCCUUGAUGUGUAGGAUAGGUGGGAGGCUUUGAAGCGUGGACGCCAGUCUGCGUGGAGCCRACCUUGAAAUACCACCCUUUAAUGGCUGGUGUUCUAACGURGACCCGUAAUCCGGGUUGCGGACAGUGUCUGGUGGGUAGUUUGACUGGGGCGGUCUCCUCCCAAAGAGUAACGGAGGAGCACGAAGGUUGGCUAAUCCUGGUCGGACAUCAGGAGGUUAGUGCAAUGGCAUAAGCCAGCUUGACUGCGAGCGUGACGGCGCGAGCAGGUGCGAAAGCAGGUCAUAGUGAUCCGGUGGUUCUGAAUGGAAGGGCCAUCGCUCAACGGAUAAAAGGUACUCCGGGGAUAACAGGCUGAUACCGCCCAAGAGUUCAUAUCGACGGCGGUGUUUGGCACCUCGAUGUCGGCUCAUCACAUCCUGGGGCUGAAGUAGGUCCCAAGGGUAUGGCUGUUCGCCAUUUAAAGUGGUACGCGAGCUGGGUUUAGAACGUCGUGAGACAGUUCGGUCCCUAUCUGCCGUGGGCGCUGGAGAAUUGAGGGGGGCUGCUCCUAGUACGAGAGGACCGGAGUGGACGCAUCACUGGUGUUCGGGUUGUCAUGCCAAUGGCACUGCCCGGUAGCUAAAUGCGGAAGAGAUAAGUGCUGAAAGCAUCUAAGCACGAAACUUGCCCCGAGAUGAGUUCUCCCUGAGAC